CUUUUAUUUCUUCAAAUAUUUAUAAAAUAUACCUGAAACCUCUUAAAAUAUGAUCCACUAUUUUAUUUACAGAAGUUUAGCUUUCCAUUUUACAAAUCUAGAUUUUCUUGUAUGUAAUGAUCGAAAAUUCCAUCAUCCAACCUACUCAGCAUCCCAACAGUUUCCAUUAUCGACCAAAAGAGGGAGUUUGCACUAUUAUUAUUAUUAUUCUAUGCAAUACUUGCUACCUUUCAGUAAUGGAACAAUAUUAUAUAUGAUAUUGCAUUACAAAAAUAAUGUUCAAUGCUGAAAUGGACAGAUUUCAAUUAAGAUUUAUC
rnacentral:lncRNA from 1 species